rnacentral:rRNA from 1 species
ACACAUGCAAGUCGAACGGAAAGGCCCUUCGGGGUACUCGAGUGGCGAACGGGUGAGUAACACGUGGGUGAUCUGCCCUGCACUUUGGGAUAAGCCUGGGAAACUGGGUCUAAUACCGAAUAUGACCACAUGCUUCAUGGUGUGUGGUGGAAAGCUUUUGCGGUGUGGGAUGGGCCCGCGGCCUAUCAGCUUGUUGGUGGGGUAAUGGCCUACCAAGGCGACGACGGGUAGCCGGCCUGAGAGGGUGACCGGCCACACUGGGACUGAGAUACGGCCCAGACUCCUACGGGAGGCAGCAGUGGGGAAUAUUGCACAAUGGGCGCAAGCCUGAUGCAGCGACGCCGCGUGAGGGAUGACGGCCUUCGGGUUGUAAACCUCUUUCAAUAGGGACGAAGCGCAAGUGACGGUACCUAUAGAAGAAGGACCGGCCAACUACGUGCCAGCAGCCGCGGUAAUACGUAGGGUCCGAGCGUUGUCCGGAAUUACUGGGCGUAAAGAGCUCGUAGGUGGUUUGUCGCGUUGUUCGUGAAAACUCACAGCUUAACUGUGGGCGUGCGGGCGAUACGGGCAGACUAGAGUACUGCAGGGGAGACUGGAAUUCCUGGU